rnacentral:lncRNA from 1 species
AGCAAACAUUAGUUUUUAAUUACCGUUUUAUCUCAUUUAAUUAACUAAAAAUAGUUUCAUCAGGUCUCCAAAAAAUUCAUAAAAUAUACCAAAAGUUCCAGAAUAUUAUCUACUAUUUUCAUGGUAUAAUGGUUUCAGUGAGUUGGUUGAGUGGUGCGUGUUAAAUUACAACACACAAGUAACGUAUUUAGUAGAAAAAAAAUGAGAUUAAGGUAGUGAAAAAUUGCAUUUUUUUUCGGUGUCCAAAUCAAACGAACCAAGUCUCUAUUUGUAGAAAAAAAAAAUUAUGAAUUUUGGUAUAAAAAAAAAUAAAAUUAAUUUACAACGAAAUAAUUGAGUUCAAAGUAUUAAAUGAACAAAAAUCACGUCCAGCCAACCAUUGUGUGACACGUGUCCUACUUUUAAAAAGCAAAUUUUUCUCUCUCAGGGUGUAAUCCAGUGUGGCGCACGCGCUGGAAUCUGAUGGAUCAAGAUGAUCUGGGCUGUCGGAUUGAUCGGACAGUCUUGAUGAGAUCAGAUCUUGGCUGUCUGAUGGAAAUCAACGGUCUGUAACCAUGGUCCUUCGGUACGCGCGCGACACUUGAUCCGCGUCUAUUAAUGGGUAUUUUGGUUAAUUAAUUAAAAAGAAUGGGUAUUUUGGUCCAAUUGAAAAGGUG